UUCACUUCCUUCUUGCAAGCUGUCUAAAUAACUGGAGUUGGAGUUGCUGCCCAUCUGCAAAAAUGACACAUCUGAGAGGAGGGUCAAAGGUUGGCACCUUGGUGAUGUGUAGGACGACCAGUAUGGCACAGUAAUUGGCUGCUCGUCGUGACAUCGACUCGGCUGCUACCCAGAGAGAGAGCCAAAACACCCACAUGAUUUCUCGAAUCAAACACGGAACACGGUGGAGAUCGGCUGAGGAUUAUUUCAUUAAAGCCAUAAUCCCUUCCGAAGCGUCUAGGAGAUUGCGCUGGUGUUGAAGGCCUGAGCUCUGAUCAGCUCAUCCCAUCGUCUGCUGAUCGAUGAGUCCAGGACUGAUGGAUCUACAGCGAGCUUUUGCGGAGUGACCCCUGUAUCCUCCAUCACAUCCUAAUGUGGAGCUACGGAGCCAUUUUCCUCCUAUUAGUACAAAGCAGUAAAAAGAGACUUCACACUUCACUUAUGUUAAUGAUAUUAUUAUAUAAUUUAUAUUAGUGUAAUAAUUUUAGACUAGUUACAUAAUAGGUUUGAUGUUUGAUCUAUCUAUCUAUCUAUCUAUCUAGACACACAGUUAUACAACUCUGUCAAACCAGCAAUUACACAUCAGUCAUCACAGCACAUGAUGUAU
ensembl:lncRNA